rnacentral:rRNA from 1 species
UACGAAGGGGGCUAGCGUUGCUCGGAAUCACUGGGCGUAAAGCGCACGUAGGCGGAUCGCUAAGUCAGGGGUGAAAUCCUGGAGCUCAACUCCAGAACUGCCUUUGAUACUGGCAAUCUCGAGUCCGGGAGAGGUGAGUGGAACUGCGAGUGUAGAGGUGAAAUUCGUAGAUAUUCGCAAGAACACCAGUGGCGAAGGCGGCUCACUGGCCCGAUACUGACGCUGAGGCACGAAAGCGUGGGGAGCAAACAGG